GUCUUCAUGGUGUAGUUGGUUAUCACGUGGGUCUCAUAUUUCAUUCAAUAUGACUAGAAAGCGUUCAACUUUCUGGAUAUCCCAAGGCCGGGAGUUCGAACCUCCCUGAGGACA
rnacentral:tRNA from 1 species